rnacentral:rRNA from 1 species
AUUGAACGCUGGCGGCAUGCUUUACACAUGCAAGUCGAACGGUAACAGGCCGCCAGGUGCUGCCGAGUGGCGCACGGGUGAGUAAUGCAUCGGAACGUGCCCCGUCGUGGGGGAUAACUACUCGAAAGGGUAGCUAAUACCGCAUCCGAUCUAUGGAUGAAACCGGGGGACCGAAAGGCAACGCACGGUUUGGCUGGCCGUUGUCGGAUUAGGUAGUUGGUGGGGUAAAGGCUUACCAAGCCAACGAUCUGUAGCUGGUCUGAGAGGACGACCAGCCACACUGGGACUGAGACACGGCCCAGACUCCUACGGGAGGCAGCAGUGGGGAAUUUUGGACAAUGGGCGCAAGCCUGAUCCAGCAAUGCCGCGUGCGGGAAGAAGGCCUUCGGGUUGUAAAACGCUUUUGUACGGAACGAAAAGGCUCUGGUUAAUACCUGGGGCUAAUGACGGUACCGUAAGAAUAAGCACCGGCUAACUACGUG